rnacentral:rRNA from 1 species
AUUGAACGCUAGCGGGAUGCUUUACACAUGCAAGUCGAACGGCAGCGCGGACUUCGGUCUGGCGGCGAGUGGCGAACGGGUGAGUAAUGUAUCGGAACGUGCCCAGUAGCGGGGGAUAACUACGCGAAAGCGUAGCUAAUACCGCAUACGCCCUACGGGGGAAAGCAGGGGAUCGUAAGACCUUGCACUAUUGGAGCGGCCGAUAUCGGAUUAGCUAGUUGGUGAGGUAACGGCUCACCAAGGCGACGAUCCGUAGCUGGUUUGAGAGGACGACCAGCCACACUGGGACUGAGACACGGCCCAGACUCCUACGGGAGGCAGCAGUGGGGAAUUUUGGACAAUGGGGGCAACCCUGAUCCAGCCAUCCCGCGUGUGCGAUGAAGGCCUUCGGGUUGUAAGCACUUUUGGCAGGAAAGAAACGUCGCGGGCUAAUACCCCGUGGAACUGACGGUACCUGCAGAAUAAGCACCGGCUAACUACGUG